GUUGUUAAGAAAAUAUAGUAAAAUUAUUUUCUUGGCAUGAUAUAAGAAAACUGUGAGUCUAGCCCACAAUAGUCUUUGUGCAUUGCAUGAGUGAGAGUGGGCCGAGCCCGAACGAACCUUUGUAAGCAGGAUCAGCGCGUCCUCUUACUUAGGUGUAAUUUGAAAACGUUACCAAAGUUUGUAAAUCCAUGUAUUUGUGAGUUUCCAUCAAAUGAAUCUUAUGAAUAUAUGAAAGUUUUAGUGUUGUAAAUGGGUAUGUAAAGCGUCUAUGAACAGGUUGAUCGUUAAUUUUCCAUCAAAUGAAUCUUAUGAAUAUAUGAAAGUUUUAGUGUUGUAAAUGGGUAUGUAAAGCGUCUAUGAACAGGUUGAUCGUUAAUGUUUCGCGAGGACAUUAACGUAUGCGACGACAUAGGAAGUACUCAACCUGUGUAGACGAUUUUUAGUGUCGAAUCACCUCGACUGUGUCGAAUCACCUCGACUGUGUGAAUCACUUCCACUUUGUCGAAUAACCUCGACUGU
rnacentral:lncRNA from 1 species